rnacentral:rRNA from 1 species
GCUCCAAUAGCGUAUAUUAAAGUUGUUGCAGUUAAAAAGCUCGUAGUUGGAUUUCUGGCUCUGGGGGCGCGGUCCACCUCGCGGUGAGCACUGUUUUUUGCCUCUGGGCUAUUCUCUUGGUUUGGGGCGGUGGCCUUGAUUGGUUGCUGUUUCUGGGCAAGACCUUUACUUUGAAAAAAUUAGAGUGUUCAAGCAGGCGU